rnacentral:rRNA from 1 species
GACGAACGCUGGCGGCGUGCUUAACACAUGCAAGUCGAACGAUGAACCCGGAGCUUGCUCCGGUGGAUUAGUGGCGAACGGGUGAGUAACACGUGAGUAACCUGCCCUUGACUCUGGGAUAACUGCGGGAAACUGUAGCUAAUACCGGAUACGACCCUCGGCGGCAUCGCCAGGGGGUGGAAAGAAUUUCGGUCAAGGAUGGACUCGCGGCCUAUCAGCUAGUUGGUGAGGUAACGGCUCACCAAGGCGACGACGGGUAGCCGGCCUGAGAGGGUGACCGGCCACACUGGGACUGAGACACGGCCCAGGCUCCUACGGGAGGCAGCAGUGGGGAAUAUUGCACAAUGGGCGCAAGCCCGAUGCAGCAACGCCGCGUGAGGGAUGACGGCCUUCGGGUUGUAAACCUCUUUUAGUAGGGAAGAAGCGAAAGUGUCGGUACCUGCAGAAAAAGCACCGGCUAACUACGUGCCAGCAGCCGCAGUAA